UGGGGAAUCUUGCGCAAUGGGCGAAAGCCUGACGCAGCCAUGCCGCGUGAAUGACGAAGGUCUUAGGAUUGUAAAAUUCUUUCACCGGGGACGAUAAUGACGGUACCCGGAGAAGAAGCCCCGGCUAACUUCGUGCCAGCAGCCGCGGUAAUACGAAGGGGGCUAGCGCUGCUCGGAAUUACUGGGCGUAAAGGGAGCGUAGGCGGACAUUUAAGUCAGGGGUGAAAUCCCGGGGCUCAACCUCGGAAUUGCCUUUGAUACUGGGUGUCUUGAGUAUGAGAGAGGUGUGUGGAACUCCGAGUGUAGAGGUGAAAUUCGUAGAUAUUCGGAAGAACACCAGUGGCGAAGGCGACACACUGGCUCAUUACUGACGCUGAGGCUCGAAAGCGUGGGGAGCAAACAGGAUUAGAUACCCUGGUAGCCCACGCCGUAAACGAUGAUUGCUAGUUGUCGGGAUGCAUGCAUUUCGGUGACGCAGCUAACGCAUUAAGCAAUCCGCCCUGGGGGAGUACGGUCCAAGAUUAAAACUCAAAUGAAUUGACGGGGUCAUAGCUGUUUCCUG
rnacentral:rRNA from 1 species